rnacentral:rRNA from 1 species
CUACGGGGGGCAGCAGUGGGGAAUAUUGCACAAUGGGCGCAAGCCUGAUGCAGCCAUGCCGCGUGUAUGAAGAAGGCCUUCGGGUUGUAAAGUACUUUCAGCGGGGAGGAAGGGAGUAAAGUUAAUACCUUUGCUCAUUGACGUUACCCGCAGAAGAAGCACCGGCUAAAUCCGUGCCAGCAGCCGCGGUAAUACGGAGGGUGCAAGCGUUAAUCGGAAUUACUGGGCGUAAAGCGCACGCAGGCGGUUUGUUAAGUCAGAUGUGAAAUCCCCGGGCUCAACCUGGGAACUGCAUCUGAUACUGGCAAGCUUGAGUCUCGUAGAGGGGGGUAGAAUUCCAGGUGUAGCGGUGAAAUGCGUAGAGAUCUGGAGGAAUACCGGUGGCGAAGGCGGCCCCCUGGACGAAGACUGACGCUCAGGUGCGAAGGCGUGGGGAGCAAACAGGAUUAGAUACCCCGGUAGUC